rnacentral:rRNA from 1 species
CACGUAGGCACCAAGCGUUAUCCGGAUUUAUUGGGCGUAAAGAGCUCGUAGGCGGUUCGGUAAGUCGGGUGUGAAAACUCUGGGCUCAACCCAGAGAGGCCACCCGAUACUGCUGUGACUAGAGUGCGGUAGGGGAGCGGGGAAUUCCUGGUGUAGCGGUGAAAUGCGCAGAUAUCAGGAGGAACACCGGUGGCGAAGGCGGGUCUCUGGGCAGUAACUGACGCUGAGAAGCGAAAGCGUGGGGAGCGAACAGG